UCUCCGUAGGUGAACCUGCGGAGGGCUCAUUACUGAGCGAGGGUUUAACCGCCCGACCUCCAACCCUUUUGUGAACCACCUCGUUGCUUCGGGGGCGACCCUGCCGUUCGCGGCGUGGGGCCCCCGGAGCCCAUCAAACCCUGCGUAACUAAGUCGUCGGAGUUUAAACAAAUUAAACAAAACUUUCAACAACGGAUCUCUUGGCUCUCGCAUCGAUGAAGAACGCAGC
rnacentral:misc_RNA from 1 species